CCUACGGGAGGCAGCAGUGAGGAAUAUUGGUCAAUGGACGCAAGUCUGAACCAGCCAAGUAGCGUGCAGGAUGACGGCCCUAUGGGUUGUAAACUGCUUUUAUACGGGGAUAAACUGCGUCACGUGUGCCUUUCUGUAUGUACCGUAUGAAUAAGGACCGGCUAACUCCGUGCCAGCAGCCGCGGUAAUACGGAGGAUCCGAGCGUUAUCCGGAUUUAUUGGGUUUAAAGGGUGCGUAGGCGGUCUGUUAAGUUAGCGGUGAAAUACCGGGGCUCAACCUCGGAAUUGCCGUGGAUACUGGCAGGCUUGAGUGGGGUAGAGGUAGGCGGAAUGCGUGGUGUAGCGGUGAAAUGCUUAGAGAUCACGAAGAACUCCGAUUGCGAAGGCAGCUUACGGAACUGCGACUGACGUUGAGGCUCGAAAGCGUGGGUAUCAAACAGGAUUAGAUACCCGAGUAGUC
rnacentral:rRNA from 1 species